UUACCGUAGCAUGUCCAGUCAUCAAAAACAGAUGGGGACUGGGUGUUUUUUGGUUAUGAAGGCUGGCUAGCAGAGCAGAAGUGUCUUCAACGGUGGCUGUGCUUGGCUGCACCUGGCUAGUUUGCCAGUUAUGAAGGCUGGCUGCUGCUGUGAUGUUGGUCCACUGCAUUACGGUUUUUGUAUUCUUUCUUAUUUAUACGAUUAAAGCCGAUUAAGGUUUGUAGAAAAAAGGUUCGGCUAUGUUUUCGAGGAGCUCUAAUACCAUAUGAAAAAAUAUACUGUUUUUUACCGUAGCGUGUCCAGUCAUCAAAUACAGAUGGGACUGGGUGUUUUUUGGUUAUGAAGGCUGGCUAGCAGAGCAGAAGUGUCUUCAACGGUGGCUGUGCUUGGCUGCACCUGGCUAGUUUUCCAGUUAUGAAGGCUGGCUGCUGCUGUGAUGUUGGUCCACUGCAUUACAGUUUUUGUAUUCUUUCUUAUUUCUACGAUUAAAGCCGAUUAAGGUUUGUAGAAAAAAGGUUCGGCUAUGUUUUCGUAGAGCUCUAAUACCAUAUGAAAAAAUAUAUUCUGUUUUUUUACCAUAGCAUGUCCAGUCAUCAAAAACAGAUGGGGACUGGGUGUUUUUUGGUUAUGUAGGCUGGCUAGCAGAGCAGAAGUGUCUUCAACGGUGGCUGUGCUUGGCUGCACCUGGCUAGUUUGCCAGUUAUGAAGGCUGGCUGCUGCUGUGAUGUUGGUCCACUGCAUUACAGUUUUUGUAUUCUUUCUUAUUUCUACGAUUAAAGCCGAUUAAGGUUUGUAGAAAAAAGGUUCGGCUAUGUUUUCGUAGAGCUCUAAUACCAUAUGAAAAAAUAUAUUCUGUUUUUUUACCGUAGCAUGUCCAGUCAUCAAAAACAGAUGGGGACUGGGUGUUUUUUGGUUAUGAAGGCUGGCUAGCAGAGCAGAAGUGUCUUCAACGGUGGCUGUGCUUGGCUGCACCUGGCUAGUUUGCCAGUUAUGAAGGCUGGCUGCUGCUGUGAUGUUGGUCCACUGCAUUACAGUUUUUGUAUUCUUUCUUAUUUAUACGAUUAAAGCCGAUUAAGGUUUGUAGAAAAAAGGUUCGGCUAUGUUUUCGAGGAGCUCUAAUACCAUAUGAAAAAAUAUAUUCUGUUUUUUACCGUAGCGUGUCCAGUCAUCAAAUACAGAUGGGGACUGGUUGUUUUUUGGUUAUGAAGGCUGGCUAGCAGAGCAGAAGUGUCUUCAACGGUGGCUGUGCUUGGCUGCACCUGGCUAGUUUUCCAGUUAUGAAGGCUGGCUGCUGCUGUGAUGUUGGUCCACUGCAUUACGGUUUUUGUAUUCUUUCUUAUUUCUACGAUUAAAGCCGAUUAAGGUUUGUAGAAAAAAGGUUCGGUUAUGUUUUCUUAGAGCUCUAAUACCAUAUGAAAAAAUAUAUUCUGUUUUUU
rnacentral:lncRNA from 1 species